UGGCGGGCGGUGUGGUGGGAACACGCGCCUUGCGAGCCGAUGGGCGGCCGCGGGAACGACAUCGGAAAAGGUGACGGAGUCAACUUGUCGCUUAAUGCCCGUCAACCGGGUUCAAAUCCCGGCCCGCCAA
rnacentral:tRNA from 1 species